GCAGCUGUGGCGGCAAGGAUGAUCUCAAGGGCGAAAUAUAUGUGGAUCGCGUAGAGAGUCAGCACGACUUUCUCAGGCAAUUUGGUACUGUAUUCGUAGGCUUUGAUGAUGAGAACCACAAAAACUGCCUUUAUGGUAUAAAUCAAAGGACCCUCUGUGGAUCCUUCAUGGGAGUGAGUUUUUGUAGGUUUUGGGCUCAGCUGAAUCUUGAUGGGCAAGCAAGAGACAGCUAAGAA